rnacentral:rRNA from 1 species
CCUACGGGAGGCAGCAGUGAGGAAUAUUGGUCAAUGGGCGUAAGCCUGAACCAGCCAAGUCGCGUGAGGGAUGAAGGUUCUAUGGAUCGUAAACCUCUUUUAUAAGGGAAUAAAGUGCGGGACGUGUCCCGUUUUGUAUGUACCUUAUGAAUAAGGAUCGGCUAACUCCGUGCCAGCAGCCGCGGUAAUACGGAGGAUCCGAGCGUUAUCCGGAUUUAUUGGGUUUAAAGGGUGCGUAGGUUGGGUGGUAAGUCAGUGGGGAAAUGCCCCCGGUCAACGGGGUGAAGUGCCAUUGAUAUUGCCUGGCUGGAAUGCAGAUGACGUGGGAGGAAUGUGUGGUGUAGCGGUGAAAUGCAUAGAUAUCACACAGAACACCGAUUGCGAAGGCAUCUCACGAAUCCGCGAUUGACGCUGAUGCACGAAAGCGUGGGUAUCAAACAGGAUUAGAUACCCUUGUAGUC